AGUCANCUCCCUCCGUUGCACAAUACAUGCCUUCUAUUUGUCAAAAUAUAUAUGUAUCUAGACAUGUCUUAGUAUAUAGGUACAUCCAUUUUUGGACAAAUGGAAGUCAAGUAUUUUGGAACGGAGGGAGUACAUA
rnacentral:pre_miRNA from 1 species